UAGGAUAGAGGCCUACCAUGGUGGUAACGGGUAACGGGGUGUUAGGGCACGACACCGGAGAGGGAGCCUGAGAAACGGCUACCACAUCCAAGGAUGGCAGCAGGCGCGCAAAUUACCCAAUCCCGACACGGGGAGGUAGUGACAAUAAAUAACAAUACGGGGUUCUUUCGGAUCUCGUAAUUGGAAUGAGUACAAUUUAAAUCUCUUAACGAGGAACAAUUGGAGGGCAAGUCUGGUGCCAGCAGCCGCGGUAAUUCCAGCUCCAAUAGCGUAUAUUAAGUUGUUGCAGUUAAAAAGCUCGUAGUUGAAUUUCGGGGUUAGUAGGUUGGUCAUGCCUCUGGUAUGUACUGGUCUCACUGAUUCCUCCUUCCUUAUGAACCGUAAUGCCAUUAAUUUGGUGUUGCGGGGAAUUUGGACUGUUACUUUGAAAAAAUUAGAGUGUUUAAAGCAAGCUAACGCUUGAAUACAUUAGCAUGGAAUAAUGAAAUAGGACGUUCGAUCUUAUUUUGUUGGUUUCUAGGAUUGACGUAAUGAUUAAUAGGGAUAGUUGGGGGCAUUAGUAUUCAAUUGUCAGAGGUGAAAUUCUUGGAUUUAUUGAAGACUAACUACUGCGAAAGCAUUUGCCAAGGAUGUUUUCAUUAAUCAAGAACGAAAGUUAGGGGAUCGAAGACGAUCAGAUACCGUCGUAGUCUUAACCAUAAACUAUGCCGACUAGGGAUCGG
rnacentral:rRNA from 1 species